rnacentral:lncRNA from 1 species
UUACACCUAACUCUGAAGUUGACAGCCCAAGGCAUCACACGUCGGUGCGGAGACUUUCUGAGGCUGGGCGCGAGCUGCCGCCGCCGCCGCCCUAGGUUUUGGGCUCCUUCCUGCCGCGGCUUUGCGCGGCUCUGUCUGCCCCGCUUCAUCUACCUCUUCGCUGCCGAAGGUGCCCGAAACGGUCGCGCCGCGGAGCCAGCGAGAGGCGCCAACAAAAGCGGCGAGGCGGUGCCACCCCGGACCGCGGCAGGUAGAGGAGCCGGAGGAGGAGCGCGAGCCCACCGUCCCGAGCCGCCGUGCGUACUUUCUGGAGGGCAGGGCAGCGCGGGGGACUCGGCCCCGGGAGGGGGGACGCCCGCGGCGCGGGGGUGAGCCAAGUUCCGGCGGCGGCGGCGGCGGCGGCGGCUCUCCUCCGCUCCCACGAGAGGAAAGUUUCUGCAGACGCUUCCGGCCAGCCCGCGCCCUCCGGCCCAGCCUCCCGAGCCUUCGGAGCGGGCGUCGUCCCAGCCCAGCUCCGGGGAGAGCGAGCCGCGAUGCCUGGGGCGUGCUCCCGGGGCCCCGCCGCCGGGGACGGGCGGCUGCGGCUCGCGCGCCUGGCGCUGGUCCUCUUGGGCUGGGUCUCCUCGCCCUCUCCCACCUCCUCGGCGUCCUCCUCCACCUCCUCGGCGUCGUCCCUGGCCUCCGAGGUGUCUGCU